AGCAAUACAAGGUAAGACGCUCUGAGUUAACAGUGCGCAGCUCUGCUGCGCCACCAUCCGCGGAAACAAAAAUUACAAUGCAGAACCUUAAUGCGCCAUCAAAACCAUUCAAGCUUUCCGCUGGAUAUCCGUGUGCGACUCCACUGUGCCUCUAUCCCAGAGUAAGGACAUCGGUUUAGUCACUGAAGUGUAGCCACAAAUAUGUGUAGUUCCCGAGGACUAGGAUGACAAAUAGUUGUGCAGGUAUUGGCUGGGUAAGGGCAUACGCCCAGGUCCCAGCCAGGCUGCUGGAAACCCUCCAUGGUUCAUCAUUGUGCGACGACCACAAUGCGCCUAUCCACAGGGUAAUGGCAAGCCUAUAUGCCAGCGUCUCCAGGGUAAAAAGAUCGGCCAAGCUUCCAGUCGGCUGGCAAGCUGCAGGGUUCUGGGCUCGCAGUUUCCUCAGCGCCGCCCACGCACGAGCUGCACCAACACAGACGUCUGAAUUUUUUUCUGCGUCGCCUUCUGCCCAUUUCUCAGCCACAUCGGUGUGAGAGACCAUAAGCAGAAGGCUCCCAACUCCACGGUCCGUCCCGCAGGUCUUCUACACAACCAUCUUCAGGGUGCAGGGCUCGGAUCUUCCCGGAGAACCGGAUCCAUUCCGAGAGCCGCAGCAGCGUGCAGAUACAAAGUGCGGGCACUUGGAUGGGCUACUACAUACCGACUACCACUAACACGACCGGAUGGGAUAAGGACGGUCACCGGGUCCUCCUUGGUCGUGGACACAGAGCCUGGGUAAAGGUUUCCAUUCAGCUUCCAGUCUGUUUGCAAGCUGCAGGAUUCUGGGCUUGCAUUUUCCUCAGCGCCACCCACGCAUGAACUGCACCAACAGAGACAUCUGGGUAUUUUCUGCGUCGUCGUUUGCCUAUUCCUCGACCACAUCUGUGUGAGAGGUCACAAGCGAAAGACUUCUGACUCCACGGUCCGUGCCGCAGUGAUUCUACACAACCAUCUUCAGGAUAUAGAGCGCGGAUCUUCCCGGAGAACCGGAUCGCCCCCGAUCCGAUACGGAUACAAAGCGCGGAGACUUGGAUGGGCUACCACACACAGCCUAACGAUAGGAUGGGAUGAGGACAGCCACCGGGCCUUCCACGGUCGUAGACACGGAGCCACAAUAAAGGUGUCCGCUCAGUUCUCAGCCGUGCCGCAGUCUGCAGAGUUAAGAGACGUCUGCCGAGAUCUGGUGUGGAGGCAGAAAUGACGCAGUCUGCAAAGCGAGCCUGCCCAGACUUCAGUGCGCAGGCGCGACAAUGCGGCAAUCUGCAAGGUAGAGACACGUUCUGUGGCGCCAUCUAUCGCGUAAGAAGGACGGUCCAGGUCUUCCAUGCGUGGGCACAGAGGCCCCAGUCCACACGGUGAAGCCACACAGGUAAUUAGCGUGGCUCCACUGUGGCAGUCAUCUUCAGGGUAUCGAUGAGUUGGGCUUCCCUGAGUCGGCAGGGGAAAAAGUCAACGCAAAAGCUCGGAACGCCAUUGCUGUGACAGCCCGGCAAUCAGCCGAUCUCAGUGCACAGGCGCGGCAAUGCGGCAAUGCGGCAGAGUGCGCAGUAACUGUGUUCUGUGAUGCCACCUAGCGGGUAAGAAUGACGGCCCGCAUACUCGGUACAGAGCGCAGAGGGGGCAAUGAGACCAAGGUGCCCCCUUUGGUGAUCGGCCCGUGGCCCCAGUGGGGCAGCAUCUACCUGGGUUAUCCAUGCGGUCAUACAGGGUGGUGAUGUCCCGCUGGGUCCUCAGGGUGACAGUGUCCACGUAGUAAGACUACGACACAAAUGAGUGUCCCACUGGGUCUGUGGGGUGAGGGUGUCCACAUAGGUACUUGGUACCAGCAAAAAAUGCUCAAUGGAAGGAACGUAGCCGGAUCCACUGCGGAGCACGGGAGAAUCUGGCACUACCACACGGGGCCUUCCCAGAGCUCUCCCUUCUCAGCCCCACCUGUGGAAGAUUUGGGCUUCCUCGCUGGUUUGCAGACUUCGGGACGCUAGGGACUGUGCUUUUAAAGUGGUAGACUCUUCAAACAAGGGCAAAAAGCAGUUACAUUCUUCACCAAACUGUCACAGGAACGAUUUCUGAAACCUCUUGAGCCAGUUCCCCACAGUUCAAAUAACUCUUUGGACCACUGUC